rnacentral:rRNA from 5 species
UUGACCUCGAAUCAGGUAGGAAUACCCGCUGAACUUA